rnacentral:rRNA from 1 species
GGAAGGUCCGGGCGUUAUCUGGAUUUAUUGGGUUUAAAGGGAGCGUAGGCGGACGCUUAAGUCAGCUGUGAAAGUUUGGGGCUCAACCUUAAAAUUGCAGUUGAAACUGGAGACCUUGAGUACGGUUGAGGCAGGCGGAAUUCGUGGUGUAGCGGUGAAAUGCUUAGAUAUCACGAAGAACCCCGAUUGCGAAGGCAGCCUGCUAAGCCGCCACUGACGUUGAGGCUCGAAAGUGUGGGUAUCAAACAGGAUUAGAUACCCUGGUAGUCCACACGGUAAACGAUGAAUACUCGCUGUUUGCGAUAUGCAGCAAGCGGCCAAGCGAAAGCGUUAAGUAUUCCACCUGGGGAGU